rnacentral:rRNA from 1 species
CGGGUGAGUAAUGCUUGGGAAUCUAGCUUAUGGAGGGGGAUAACUACGGGAAACUGUAGCUAAUACCGCGUAAUAUCGAAAGAUUAGAGUGUGGGACCUUCGGGCCACAUGCCAUAGGAUGAGCCCAAGUGGGAUUAGGUAGUUGGUGAGGUAAAGGCUCACCAAGCCGACGAUCUCUAGCUGGUCUGAGAGGAUGACCAGCCACACUGGGACUGAGACACGGCCCAG